rnacentral:rRNA from 1 species
UACGGGGGGAGCAAGCGUUGUUCGGAUUUACUGGGCGUAAAGGGCGCGUAGGCGGCGCAACAAGUCACUUGUGAAAUCUCCGGGCUUAACUCGGAAAGGUCAAGUGAUACUGUUGUGCUAGAGUGCGGAAGGGGCAACUGGAAUUCUCGGUGUAGCGGUGAAAUGCGUAGAUAUCAAGCGGAACACCAGUGGCGAAGGCGAGUCCCUGGACAACUCCUGACACUGAGGCACGAAAGCUAGGGGAGCAAACAGG